rnacentral:rRNA from 1 species
CACGUAGGGGGCAAGCGUUGUCCGGAAUCAUUGGGCGUAAAGCGCGUGUAGGCGGUUCGAUAAGUCUGCUGUGAAAGUCCAGGGCUCAACCCUGGGAUGCCGGUGGAUACUGUCGGGCUAGAGUACGGAAGAGGCGAGUGGAAUUCCCGGUGUAGCGGUGAAAUGCGCAGAUAUCGGGAGGAACACCAAUUGCGAAGGCAGCUCGCUGGGACGUUACUGACGCUGAGACGCGAAAGCGUGGGUAGCAAACAGG